UGUGGUUUAACAACUCCACCAGGUGAUUCUCAUCAUGAGAGAAGGUUGGGAAACACUGCCAUAGACACACUGUCUCAUGGGCCCUGACCGCCUCUGCUGGGCCUAGGGAUAAGUUUAGUUACAGAUACAA